CGCCGAUCGUAAAUUGAUAUUAAUUCGACUCCAUUGGGGGUACUUGCGACAUCAAUUUAAUCGACGGGGAAUAGAAAGUUUAUUCGCUUAUACAUAAAUAAAGGGACAACAUAUUCUCUGCGUUGGUCUUGUUUGUUCAUCUUACUUUUUGUACAUUUCUUCGCUUCCUCUUUUUUUUUUUUUUUUUUUUUUUAAUAAUUUUUUCUUAUACGCGUCUAUACAAUUCUUUAUCAGGAUGGAAGUUUCUAGAUUGUUGAGUAAUCUUUUUUUCUUCUUUUUAUUAAAAUCAGCAUUCCUUUCAAGAAUUGGUCUUUUGAAAUACAGGAACAGUACUUGCGUUGACUUUUUGUAUUUUGAUUUAAAAAAAAACACCUUAUCACACGUCGCGAUACGUAACGCAAUAGUGUUACGAGAUAUUUUCUUUUUCCAAGAAGUCUAACGUUGUUCUUGACUAUCGGUCGGUCAUGUUUAUUAAUAAAUUUUGAAAUAAUAUAAUUUGCGAUUUUUUUUCAACAAUCUGGUAAUCACCUACGAUCACGAUGCACGUGAAAUUGAAUGUACUUAAAUCGAGUUAAGAAAAUAAAUUACGAAAAUUUGGAAUUUUAAUUAUUUCCUGUACAGCAUCGCUCCUUCGGAUUUUAGUAUUUGCGCGGAUUCCGACGUGAGUUUGCGGCGAAGAAACCUGUUUGGUUCGUAUUAGCAUAACCAGUGUUAGGCUUGUCGUUGUGAUACGAGAAUGUAUGAGACUGAUAGAGACUUAUAAAAGCGUAUACGUAUAGCAUAUUCAAAGAAAUUUCAAAAAUAAAUCAUUAUCACCUGACAAUCUGUGCAAUUUGUGUUUAUUUUCAAAAUUGAAAAACACGACAAAGUUAUAUUUUAGUAUUUUUAAAACAAAUUGUUUAUUAUAGCCGUUAUUAAACUUUCUACCCGGCAGCUGAAAUCUUAUCGUGGCCGCCUUGAUUAGAUAUUCAAAGUUUUCGGUUUUAUCGGCUUUCUACUUCCCCGUUGGGCUGUGGCGUCAAGCAACGACGAUUCCCUCGUGCCAAUAUCACCAAACGGGUGCGACCGGCGAGAAAUUCUUUCACGAUAGUGAAAAACGCCGACAUUUAACGUUAUCGUGUUGACAUAACCUAAAUAAUUUCGGAUUAUUAUAUUGAACAUGUACGUAAUUUUUUUUCCCUACAUUCAAUUAAGAUUCGACGAGAUUAUCGAUACAAGCGAAAAAUUUUGCUUUCGAUUGUCAUUAAAUAUUUUUUAAAAAUGAUCACGCUCCAAGAAAACCAAUAAACCGUAACCAAUAAAUAAUCGCUAUCAAUUAAACGCAUUCCUUUGGUGAAAGUUUCUUUGCCUUGUACGAUCGUCUCUUUUUUUUCUCAUGUUAUCCGUGCUCCUACGAUCAUUGUCAUUUACAUUUUGCGUCAUCUGCGCGUAACUUCUGACGCGCGGCUUCGAAUCGCAUUCAGUGUGAACAUAGGAAAUUGUCAGAUCGCAUUAUACACCGUGGAGAAGAUAUACGGCAAAGGUGGGAAUAAUCGAUGCUCGAUCGGUAAUAAGAUUUUAUCGCUAUAAACGAGUCGUGGAAAGAUUUUUUGUUACAAAAAAUUUGUUUCAACCUUCAAUUUUGUCACCACCCAAAACCGCUGCUACUUUAUUGUAUCAGAUUGUAAAAUUAAUUGAAAGAGAAAAAGUUCGAGGUCAACGUUAUCGUUAAUCGUGUUUGCGAUAGAGAUUUAUACGUUUCAAGGUCUGCAAGGUAUCCGAUCCACUGUAAACAGCACAGUGAUUCAUAAUUGAUUUGAAUGAAGUGUCGCAAAUGAUUUCGCAUCGCACGUGUUACUGAGAUUUGUUCAAUCAGAGACAGUUAAGGCGCAGGAUGUUAGAAGUCUGAAGUUAGCAGCAGUUGCUAUACAGCGUGCAGCCUACAAGGGUUCAUUGAGCAAGAUAGAUUUUUCUGUAAAAACAAAAACAAAAGUUUACCAAAAAAAAGUUUUCUCAGACAAUCUUAGACGAGGCUGUUAUCGCUGAAUUGAAAGUUGUCGUGGCGCCAAUUGGAAUGGCAAGUUGUAUAAGAAAAAAA